rnacentral:rRNA from 1 species
CAACUCUUGGCAAUGGAUCUCUUGGUUCUCGCAUCGAUGAAGAGCGUAGCAAAGUGCGAUAAUUAUUGCGACUUGCAUUCAUAGCGAAUCAUCGAGUUCUCGAACGCAUCUUGCGCCUAGUAGUCAAUCU